ACCCUUGGCUUCUCCUUGCCAAGAGUAGUUAGUGACUGAAGCUGGCCAAUCAAAUUUUACUCUAGGACAGUGCAUCUUUUUUUUUUUUUUAAGAUAUAUUUAUUUUAGUUUUUGGCUGUGGUGGGUCUUCGUUGUUGCAUGAGGGCUUUCUCUGGUUGCAGUGGGUAGGGGCUACUCUUCAUUGCAGUGUGUGGGCUUCUCAUUGCAUUGGCUUCUCUUGUGGAGCACAGGCUCUAGGCACGUGGGCUUCAGUAGUUGCAAUGCGUGGGCCCAGUAGUUGCGGCUCCUGGGCUCUAGAGUGCAGGCUCAGUAGUUGUGGUGCAUGGGCUUAGUUGCUCUGUGGCAUGUGGGAUUGUCCCAGACCAGGGAUGGAACUGGUGUCCCUUGCAUCGCAAGGCAGAUUCUUAAUCACUGGACUACCAGGGAAGCCCUCCGACAGUGCAUCUUGAACAGAAUAACUCAAGGGCUGUUAUGAAAGAAAAAAAAAAUUGGAGAAGGAUUUUCUUCAUCAGAGUGUCCAGUGAAUUGAAUCGCCAUCUACAUGGUUGUUCACGGACGGAGCUGGAGAAUCCUACUUGAUACGCAGCCUUGUGUGCUGGAUCCACGCUCCACCCUCCUUUACUUGCCGUCUCCCCCAGCAGAUGGUUUGAGUAGAGAAAGUCAAGAGCAAUUAAUUGAGUCAAGAGGCCCCUGUGUUCUCUGGCUUCCUGGUUGAGUUUGGUCCUCCUCCUAACUUGAGACAGCAUCUGCCAGCCGUAUGACUUUUGAUGCAGAGCCCUGAAAGCAGGACCAUCUCUCAUCAGAAAUCUGCCACCCCUGGUCCUGCCAUGCUGAAAGGCUUGGAAGCUUCUCGGAACAGCUCAUUCUCAAGGUGUUUCUCAGAAUCAGAGAAGCUCUCCUGCGGGUCUGACCAGUGACCAGAGAAAUACUCAGAGACCGCAGAAGCCUGCCUCACUAUGCAAAGGAGAGAAGAAAACAAAAAGGGAGAGAAGGAACAGCCUCAUAUUUGCCAAACCC
ensembl:lncRNA